UAUGGCCAGAUCACCUUGAAACACCGGUUGCUGUAUGAUCAGCGAAGUUAAGCAACGUCGAGCCAGGUCAGUAUCUAGAUGGGUGACCGCUUGGGAAUUCCAGGUGCUGUAAG